AUAUCUCUCCGUACGGGAAGGAUGAGAAGCUUCGACUAAGGUUCGAUUCGAGCGAAAGCGAGAAAGCGUUGCCGCAGGCAACGACCCGAAGGGCGAAGCGCGC
rnacentral:sRNA from 2 species